rnacentral:rRNA from 1 species
AUGGCGGAGCAAGCGGGUGCCAGGAGGACGUGGGCCGCGCUGGCGGCGCUCGGGGCCGUCUCCCUGCUCCUCCUCCUCCUCCUCGUCGCCCUCUCCGGCGGCGGCAGCACCGGCGUCGCGGGGCUCUCCGGCGGCAGCAGGCUCCGCUCCGCGUCGACGGCCAAGGUGGUGACCGCGGCGGCGAGCGGCGCCAGGCGGUGGCUGCGGGACUCCACGUCACGGCUUGCGGCCACGACUACAGCGACGGCGGCGAGGGGCGAACGUGCCGACGAUCACGCCGACGGUGCCGCGGCGGUGGCGGUGGAGGACCCGGAAGCGGUGGUCUCGCAAGUGCACAUGUCGAUCAGGAACAGCACCGCCCGGAGGAACCUGGGGUACCUGUCGUGCGGCACCGGGAACCCCAUCGACGACUGCUGGCGCUGCGACUCCGACUGGCACAACAACCGGCAGCGCCUCGCCGACUGCGGCAUCGGCUUCGGCCGCAACGCCAUCGGCGGCCGCGACGGCAAGAUCUACGUGGUCACCGACGCGGGCGACGACGACCCCGUGAACCCCAAGAAGGGCACGCUGCGCUACGCCGUCAUCCAGGACGAGCCGCUGUGGAUCAUCUUCAAGCGCGACAUGGUCAUCACUCUCUCCCAGGAGCUCAUCAUGAACAGCUUCAAGACCAUCGACGGCCGCGGCGCCAACGUGCACAUCGCCAACGGCGCCUGCAUCACCAUCCAGUACGUCACCAACGUCAUCAUCCACGGCCUCCACAUCCACGACUGCCGCCCCACCGGCAACGCCAUGGUGCGCAGCUCGCCCAGCCACUACGGGUGGCGCACCAUGGCCGACGGCGACGCCGUCUCCAUCUUCGGCGCCAGCCACGUCUGGGUCGACCACUGCUCCCUCUCCAACUGCGCCGACGGCCUCGUCGACGCCAUCAUGGGCUCCACCGCCAUCACUGUGUCCAACAACUACUUCACCCACCACAAUGAGGUGAUGCUGCUGGGUCACAGUGACUCCUACCUCAAGGACAAGGCAAUGCAGGUCACCAUAGCUUUCAACCAUUUCGGGGAAGGGCUCAUCCAGAGGAUGCCAAGGUGCAGGCAUGGUUACUUCCAUGUGGUGAACAAUGACUACACCCACUGGGAGAUGUACGCCAUCGGAGGGAGCGCCGAGCCGACCAUCAACAGCCAGGGGAACCGCUACCUCGCCCCAACCAACCCUUUUGCCAAAGAGGUGACAAAGAGAGUCGAGACCGCUCAGACCACCUGGAAGGCCUGGAACUGGAGAUCAGAGGGUGAUAUGCUGCUGAACGGCGCCUUCUUCACCCCAUCGGGGGCAGGCGCCUCAGCCAGCUACUCGCGCGCUUCCAGCCUCGGUGCCAAGUCCUCAUCCAUGGUCGCCACCAUCACCUCUGGGGCGGGCGCCCUGUCGUGCCACAAGGGCUCUUCCUGCUAG